AGCGGCGAACGGGUGAGUAACACGUAGGUGAUCUGCCCAUCAGACGGGGACAACGAUUGGAAACGAUCGCUAAUACCGGAUAGGACGAAAGUUUAAAGGUGCUUCUGGCACCGCUGAUGGAUGAGCCUGCGGCGCAUUAGCUAGUUGGUAGGGUAAAGGCCUACCAAGGCGACGAUGCGUAGCCGACCUGAGAGGGUGAACGGCCACACUGGGACUGAGACACGGCCCAGACUCCUACGGGAGGCAGCAGUAGGGAAUCUUCGGCAAUGGGCGAAAGCCUGACCGAGCAACGCCGCGUGAAUGAUGAAGGCCUUCGGGUUGUAAAAUUCUGUUAUAAGGGAAGAACGACUUUAGUAGGAAAUGGCUAGAGUGUGACGGUACCUUAUGAGAAAGCCACGGCUAACUACGUGCCAGCAGCCGCGGUAAUACGUAGGUGGCGAGCGUUAUCCGGAAUUAUUGGGCGUAAAGAGCGCGCAGGUGGUUGAUUAAGUCUGAUGUGAAAGCCCACGGCUUAACCGUGGAGGGUCAUUGGAAACUGGUCGACUUGAGUGCAGAAGAGGGAAGUGGAAUUCCAUGUGUAGCGGUGAAAUGCGUAGAGAUAUGGAGGAACACCAGUGGCGAAGGCGGCUUCCUGGUCUGUAACUGACACUGAGGCGCGAAAGCGUGGGGAGCAAACAGGAUUAGAUACCCUGGUAGUCCACGCCGUAAACGAUGUGUGCUAAGUGU
rnacentral:rRNA from 1 species